AAUAGGANCCCUCAGUAUGGCGAAUGNCNGGGAUGAGCUCAGUAUGGAAAUUGGGGCCUGUGGCCUUGAAUUGUAAUCUGGAGAUGUACCACCAACUGGGGCGCAGAUGUAAGCCUCUUGGAAAAGAGCAUCAAUGAGGGUGAGAGUCCCGCUUGGCAUCUGCAGUCCCCAGUGCACGGUGUACCUUCUAAGAGUCACGUUCCUCGGGAUUGGAGCGCAAAUCGGGUGGUAAGUUUCAUCUAAAGCUAAAUAUAGUUUCGAGACCGAUAGCAAACAAGUACCAUGAGGGAAAGGUGAAAAGGACUUUGAAAAGAGAGUUAAAAGUGCCUGAAAUUGCUGAAAGGGAAGCGAAUGGAACCAGCGUAACUUGGCGAGAUUGCUGCGUGUCAAUGUGAUUGCUUGCUGCUUCAACGUAAGUGUUGUAGUAAGUCUUGAACAGGACAUGCGCGGUGCUUCUUGCCUUGUGUGUCACCGUCAAUUCGCAACUGGGGAAAACUUCAGGGACAUGGUAGCCUGUCUCCGGGUGGGUGAACGUGUUUGCUGGAACUCAUUUGCGGAUUGCUUGGUGACUAAAUGGUUCCAUCUGACCCGUCUUGAAACACGGACCAAGGAGUCUAACAUAUGUGCAAGUUCACGGGUGUUAAACCUGCUUGCGUAAUGAAAGUGACUGCUGGGAUUUUUGCACCAGCAACCGACCAAUCAAUUGAGAGAGGUUUGAGUAUGAGCAUAUCUGUUAGGACCCGAAAGAUGGUGAACUAUGCCUGUGAAGGGCAAACUCAGGGGAAACUCUGAUGGAGGCUCGUAGCGGUACUGACG
rnacentral:rRNA from 1 species